rnacentral:misc_RNA from 1 species
ACAGUUUAUGAUCUAGAGAAAGGGCGGUAUAUAGUUACUCGUGUUGGAAGAAGUUGAUAGGCAUAUUUCAAGGGGAUGGAUACUUCUUUCCAGGCUUUGCGGACUAGGAGGAAGCUCCAGUGCAAUUACAAUUGAACAUAUUAUGCUUCCUCCUGUUAUUUCCAAUUGCCAAAGUUCUCCCUCUUAAAGCUGCCCUUUUCCUUGGAAAGGUGAGGUUGUAGUUGUACCAUACUGGGUUUCAGAGGGUGUGGUGUAAGUAAUGAAAAGCAUAGGAUGGAAGAGUAGUUUCCCCUUUUGUAUCAAGCGGGAGAUAAAACCUCAGUUUCAUCACACACCAAAUGCAAUCUCAUUAUAGGUAAUAUAUAAAUUUAGGAUAAAAAACAACUCAGCCAUGUGGGUAACUAUCUCACACAUUUGUACGAAAAGAUUUAUUUAUUGUUACAUGCACACGAUUGUGCA